GUGGGGAAUCUUGCGCAAUGGGCGAAAGCCUGACGCAGCCAUGCCGCGUGAAUGAUGAAGGUCUUAGGAUUGUAAAAUUCUUUCACCGGGGACGAUAAUGACGGUACCCGGAGAAGAAGCCCCGGCUAACUUCGUGCCAGCAGCCGCGGUAAUACGAAGGGGGCUAGCGUUGCUCGGAAUUACUGGGCGUAAAGGGCGCGUAGGCGGACAGUUUAGUCAGAGGUGAAAGCCCAGGGCUCAACCAUGGAAUUGCCUUUGAUACUGGCUGUCUUGAGUACGGGAGAGGUGGGUGGAACUCCGAGUGUAGAGGUGAAAUUCGUAGAUAUUCGGAAGAACACCAGUGGCGAAGGCGACUCACUGGCCCGUUACUGACGCUGAGGCGCGAAAGCGUGGGGAGCAAACAGGAUUAGAUACCCGAGUAGUCC
rnacentral:rRNA from 1 species